rnacentral:rRNA from 1 species
UGUGAACGCUGGCGGCGUGCCUAAUACAUGCAAGUCGAACGAUGAAGCUCUAGCUUGCUAGAGUGGAUUAGUGGCGCACGGGUGAGUAAUGCAUAGGUUAUGUGCCCCUUAGUCUAGGAUAGCCAUUGGAAACGAUGAUUAAUACUGGAUACUCCCUACGGGGGAAAGUUUUUCGCUAAAGGAUCAGCCUAUGUCCUAUCAGCUUGUUGGUGAGGUAAUGGCACACCAAGGCUAUGACGGGUAUCCGGCCUGAGAGGGUGAACGGACACACUGGAACUGAGACACGGUCCAGACUCCUACGGGAGGCAGCAGUAGGGAAUAUUGCUCAAUGGGGGAAACCCUGAAGCAGCAACGCCGCGUGGAGGAUGAAGGUUUUCGGAUUGUAAACUCCUUUUCUAAGAGAAGAUUAUGACGGUAUCUUAGGAAUAAGCACCGGCUAACUCCGUGCCAGCCGCCGCCGUAA